rnacentral:rRNA from 1 species
AUACGUAGGGGGCGAGCGUUGUCCGGAUUUACUGGGCGUAAAGGGUGAGUAGGCGGUUAUAUAUGUCAGAUGUAAAAGGCACAGGCUUAACUUGUGUAAGCAUUUGAAACUGUAUAACUUGAGAGCAGGAGAGGUAAGUGGAAUUCCUAGUGUAGCGGUGAAAUGCGUAGAUAUUAGGAGGAACACCAGUGGCGAAGGCGGCUUUCUGGACUGAUACUGACACUGAGGCACGAAAGCGUGGGGAGC